rnacentral:lncRNA from 1 species
UCUUGUAAAACUAAAAUCUCUGUUUUUUCAUCUGAAUAUCUGUGUCAAGUAGGUUGAAAUUAAAAAAAAAAAAAUUUGCGAUGCAAUAUAUAUGAAAUCACGUGAAUUCAAUACUGUAAACUCAAUUAUUACCAUGUAUUGUUGAAGGAUUUUCUUGCAUUUCUACAUUACUAACCAAGCUAAUACACAAAGCAAUCAAAUUUCAAUGGAAUGAUGACGGG